AUCGUGGACGCGCCCAGGGGGCGCGCACUGGCUGUCAGUAGAGGAGCUGUUCUCAGCAGCAGGUGCUGAGGAGAGAGAAGUAGGAGGGAGCAAGGGAGAGAGAUCCUCGGGCUGAGAGAAGGAAGGAGUCUGUCCAUAUAAGUGCUAGAACCUGCUCACUCCACAAGAGGCUAGAGAGACCUCCAUACUGACCCGCACAGGCUGCACAUCCCAGGUUUGUUCAGGAGUGAAGUAAUGAAGGUAACCGGCUAGAAACCGCACAGAGAGAAGGAAGAUUGUAGUAUUUGGUUUGCUGAGUGGUAUUGCUGGACUGAGCUUAUUACUCUGAUUGCCGGGGAUCUAAGAUGGAGGAGCCUGGUCGCAGGAUAAAGAGACCUCAAAGUGCAGUAGACAGGACCGGAUACCAGG